CUGGGAGGGUUAUGGCCCUGAGGAGAGAGCCUGGCGUCCAGCCGCGGACAUACACCCUGACCUCAUCACGGACUUCCAUCAGGCCCACCCCGAAUGUCCCGGCCCGCGGCCUCGGGGUCGGCCCCCCCGUAGAGGACGAACUUCGGCUUCCGGAGCCGCCUGUAGAAGGGGGGGCUCUGUCACAGGCAGACGCUCCCCGUCCCCGGAAUAUUGAGACCUCGUUCCUGCCUGCCUGAUCCUCAACGGUACUUCUGUCUAACUCCACGUAAUCCCGGCUUUCGACCACCCGCCUGUACUCCGGAUACGACCACGCCUGACCCCCUGACGGUGCCUCUGUUUAUCCCCGCUCUCCUGGCUUUCGACCCUCUGCCCGCCUACUGGACUCGACCACGCCUAACCCUUGUCUGUACUUCCACAAUAAAGCUGCGCUCUGCGCUUGGGUUUCA